CAUGCAAGCUGCUGAUGUUGCUGUCCCGGUGAUGAUGCUACAUCUGCUACUCCACACUGCAUGCUACCCCUGCUGCCUUUGCUGCACAUGCUGGCUGCUACUAUUACUGCUGUGGCUGCUGCCUCUCAUGUACGGAAGUACAUGGAGCUGUUGUCCAAGCAUAAAGCAAGCUACUCAAGAGUGCAAGCUGCUGUCCAAGUUGGGAGAUGCUGCUACCUUUCCUACUGCUGUACCUGCAAAAUUAAGGCUAUAUUAUGUAAAAACAAAUUCAACAAGGUACCUAAUGGAGCUUUAGAAGCAUCAUGAAGACUCUUGGAGGGAGAUUGAAGCAUUACACAGCAUUGUUGGAGCCCGAACCAAGCUUUAUUGACCUAUGCACCAUUAUCGCCAAGUCUAACUUCGAGCUUCUCUCUCUCUCUCUCAUCAAGCAAGUGUUAAGGAUGGCGUUAGGCCUGUAAGUGUCGCCCAAGGCCCCUUGUUUGGCUAUCCUAAGUUGUGGUUUGAAAUUUGUGGUGUUGAUGGAACAACUCACAUCUUUGCUUUCUGCCAGGUAUCAACAACAACCUUUUUUCUGCAUAUAUGGCCUGAAAUGACUAGUAUUGUGCUCUUGGGUUUUUUUUUAUGCAUGUAUCCUAUCUUAUGAUGCAUAUGUGUGAGACUGGAAUGAUGUUCUACAGCUUAAUAGUGGAUUUGGUUGGUUUUAUCCCAAGUUUCAUGUGUCUUUAGCGUGCUGGAUUUUUUUUUUCUGGUUCUGAGAAGACGAUAUUGGGCUAUUGUGUUGCCCCUUGCUUUGGAUCUCCCACUUUGAUUGUUUAGGAGUAUCCACUCAUAGUGUCUGAUCUCAUUGAACCUUCGGAAGCUACAUCGGUGGGCCGAGUAGU